UGGUAAUCUAUGGUCAGCUACAAGUUCGCCUUUGUUCCACACGACACAGACAAGACACAGAUUUCGCAAACGACACCAUCAUGAAGGUUUUGGUCUACGUCAUCCUAGCUCUGACCGUCUGUUCCUACGCCUUGGCCUGCCAGGGAGGACAUCACGAUGGCUUUCCUGAGGUCGCCAGGGAUGCCGGCCUGGCAAACUCUUAUGGAUCUUACGGUGGUUAUGGUGUCGAUGGCUACGGAGCUCCGGUUUACGGUCUUGGUUAUGGGUACCAUUAAUACGUUCCCCUUUUCCAUAACCCCUCCCAGUCAGCCAUUUCAGAAGUACAACCCAAACUUCCAGCGGAACUACGAAAAACACUAAUUUUAUUGGCAACAGAUUUAAUUCCGCGUCUCAUGGAACACUUGUGAAUUAAUUUGACACACACGACACCUGUUUAGAAAUUUGAAUAGUUUCGUAACUUACGACGAUGUAACCAGACUUGUACGGAUGUCAAUGGCUUCCUUAUAUCCACACAAAGCACCUGUCUCUCCCAAGUUCUUCGCUCAACUUAAUUUUCAUAACUCGUUGGCGUUGUUCUGCCAGAACAAGACGAGUUUCUCGUUCCUUACGGAACAAGUUUUCACCUGGAUGAAAUCUUUAAACGAAAAUUAUGUGCAUUAAAUUUUAAUUAUUUUUAUAUGUGAAACCUUUUUCUUAUAAGUUACUAUUCUGUCAAUAAAAUUAUUCUUAAACGUAAA